GGGUAAUACUAAAUUACGGAAGUAGGUUACAAAAUGCGUUCGUAUUGUUUGAAAGCUGCAGUAUUUAAAGAAAAUGUUCGCUUUGGAUGUUAAUGCUUUUAAAAACCCGUUUAAUUGCAGGUCGUGCUUUUUAAAACUGUGGUUUUGUAAAAGAACUGGAAAAAAGACAACCGUCACGUAAUUAGAGAGAGAUGCUUCAUUUCUGAGCACAGUGAAGAGGACUCGGACAAUGUGAUUGAAAAUGACAACAUGCAGCUAAGUGGUAAGGAAUCUGAUGAGACCCCAAAUGAUGAGGAUUAUUUUCAUAAUGAUGACUUACAGCUAAUUGGAGAAGAAUCUGAUGAGACCCCAACUGAUGAGGAUGAUUUUCAUAAUGACGACAUACAGAUGGACCGCCCGGCUCUGGACAUUUGCCUCGUCUUGGAUUUCCCUUUGGACUCCAUUUAGGUCAGUGUGCCUUGGACUCACCCCCCAUGUUUUCAUUCCUGACCCCUGCAUGUUUUUUUCCCUGUGUUUUCCUCACUCUUCCUGGAUUGUGUCGUCUGCAUAGGGUCCUGAAAGACACUUCGUUACACCAAGACCACUACGUCAUUGGGCACUGCUCAUAUAACUGUCACUUACUAACACAUCUCACACAAAGUGUCAGGGACUGGGGCCUCCUGUGGGCCAAUUCAGCAUUUGCUUAUGAGGAUGUAAAUGGGAAACUUAAAUCUUUUCAGUGGAACCCAAGCUGUAGCAUCACAAAUUUUUAAGUAUUUUUUUGCUCUCCAAAAAGUGCUUAGAUUUGGAGAGUCAGUCCUACAAACUGCAAAUGAGGAUGUUAGGUGUUUUUUCAAAGCUUUGACAUGCCAUGAUAUAGUCACAAAGGAAAGUACAUUACUGAUCACGUGGUCACAUUAGGGAGUGGUACAAAUAGGGAGCUGACUGCUAGUGAGAGGUUGGCAUUACAAAUGAGACUCUUAUUGGGUACCUGCAGUAUCACAAUGCUACUGUAUAUAAGCAUUGCAUCAUUUGCCAGAUGCUGCUAACCACACAAGAGUAUACACAGUGUUUUAAAAGAAAUAAUGCAGUCAUAGCCACAAAAAAAUCAUUUGGUUUAGUUCAGUCUCUGGUUGUUUGUCCAAAGGAAUGUGAGUGUGAACUUGACAUGGAAUGUUCUUGUCAAGAACUCGUAAUAUUCUUUUUACAACUCACAAAAGAUAGGAAUCAGUUUACCAUCUACAAUUCAGACCUUAAUACAAAUGUUGCAAAAUUUCUAAUGCAAGUAAAGGCCACCAACAAGCUGUGUGCAAUCUCAUGGAAGGAUGUUGAUUCAAAAUGCAUUGUAAUCGAAUAUAGACAUCAUAUGUACUUAAUGAAGAUGCAAGCGUUUGAAAUAGACUAAGUCAUGAUAACUUCUUAUAAUUAUUAUUAAAAUAGCACAUUUUUAUUAAAAUCUUAUGUACAUUUUAUGUACAAAUGAAAUAGUCUGAAAUGGAAGUAGGUCUUAUUUUUUUAAACAGAUUUAAAAUAUAUUUUUUUAUUUUAAGAACAUAAUUGUUAUUUAUGUUAUAUAUGUAAGUGUAUAUAUAUAAUGUGAGGGAUCUCUGUCACCGUCCGCAGACAGUACAUUACACGACACUCAUUAUCUAUCUUAAGUUACACAUGAUAUCGCAUACACUUUCCUGUCGGCUAGCUAGCUCAUGAGGGUGCACACCCUGGGCUUGGCUAGCAGUUUCCUAUAUUCAUACAUGCAAUACAUUAUCACCUCUUAUUUCAAAAUCAGUUUCUGUUACCUGAAGAGAUAAACACAAACUCUGUUUCUCUUUAUUUGUACUUAUCUGUGUGAGAGAGCGCUUUUUCUCUUUUUGUAUGUCUCUGCCGUGUUGCUGUCUGACUUCCGGGUAUGGUGGCCUUAUGGGUCCAAACCCGAUACCCGUUUUCAGCCUGGCUUUAUAAUGUCAACAUGGAGUGGUGCAUGCGCACAUCUUCCGGUAAAGGAAGUACCAUUUUUACAGGAGGUUAAAAAUAAGUUAAAUGUAUUCAGGGUUGGUAUUUUUCUUUUGUACAUUCUGUUUACACUGUUCUUUAAAAGAAAGAAGGAAUUCCCAUGUUAGGGAAAUUAGUUUAUCUGGGGUGAAAUGCAGCUCCAUAAGUUUGUAACAGUGGUACAGUCCAAGGGGGCAGGUCUAUAUGGUACCUAUUUAGGAGGGGGGGGAGA